CUCUGCUUAGCCGCAGGUGAAUAACAGGUGAAUAAAAGGAAGUCUCCUCCUUCCCCGUGGCGUGAUUGCGUUUGGUUUUAUCAACGCUGGAGGUGGUUGUGUAUCUUGUAUGUCUUAUGCAGAUUGCUGAAGAGACAGGCAAAUAAACGGCACAAUGCUGGUAAAGGUGUUUAAAAAAAAUUCCUUUAAACUACUCUUAAAACUGGCACUGUUUCUGACUCUGUUGC